rnacentral:rRNA from 1 species
GGUUAAGCGACUAAGCGUACACGGUGGAUGCCCUGGCAGUCAGAGGCGAUGAAGGGCGUGCUAAUCUGCGAUAAGCGCCGGUAAGGUGAUAUGAACCGUUAUAACCGGCGAUACCCGAAUGGGGAAACCCAGUGUGAUUCGUCACACUAUCAUUAACUGAAUCCAUAGGUUAAUGAGGCGAACCGGGGGAACUGAAACAUCUAAGUACCCCGAGGAAAAGAAAUCAACCGAGAUUCCCCCAGUAGCGGCGAGCGAACGGGGAGGAGCCCAGAGCCUGAAUCAGCAUGUGUGUUAGUGGAAGCGUCUGGAAAGGCGCGCGAUACAGGGUGACAGCCCCGUACACAAAAGCGCAUGUGCUGUGAGCUCGAUGAGUAGGGCGGGACACGUGGUAUCCUGUCUGAAUAUGGGGGGACCAUCCUCCAAGGCUAAAUACUCCUGACUGACCGAUAGUGAACCAGUACCGUGAGGGAAAGGCGAAAAGAACCCCGGCGAGGGGAGUGAAAAAGAACCUGAAACCGUGUACGUACAAGCAGUGGGAGCACAGGUUUACCUGUGUGACUGCGUACCUUUUGUAUAAUGGGUCAGCGACUUAUAUUCUGUAGCAAGGUUAACCGUAUAGGGGAGCCGGAGGGAAACCGAGUCUUAAUUGGGCGUUAAGUUGCAGGGUAUAGACCCGAAACCCGGUGAUCUAGCCAUGGGCAGGUUGAAGGUUGGGUAACACUAACUGGAGGACCGAACCGACUAAUGUUGAAAAAUUAGCGGAUGACCUGUGGCUGGGGGUGAAAGGCCAAUCAAACCGGGAGAUAGCUGGUUCUCCCCGAAAGCUAUUUAGGUAGCGCCUCGUGAAUUCAUCUCCGGGGGUAGAGCACUGUUUCGGCUAGGGGGCCAUCCCGGCUUACCAACCCGAUGCAAACUGCGAAUACCGGAGAAUGUUAUCACGGGAGACACACGGCGGGUGCUAACGUCCGUCGUGAAGAGGGAAACAACCCAGACCGCCAGCUAAGGUCCCAAAGUCAUGGUUAAGUGGGAAACGAUGUGGGAAGGCCCAGACAGCCAGGAUGUUGGCUUAGAAGCAGCCAUCAUUUAAAGAAAGCGUAAUAGCUCACUGGUCGAGUCGGCCUGCGCGGAAGAUGUAACGGGGCUAAACCAUGCACCGAAGCUGCGGCAGCGAACGUAUCACCCAAGACAACUUUACGGAGUUGACGAUUGACGGAGCGAAGCGACGUCAAAGCGUUCAUUAAAGUCGAGUUGGCUUAGGGAUACGUUCGUUGGGUAGGGGAGCGUUCUGUAAGCCUGUGAAGGUGUGUCGUGAGGCAUGCUGGAGGUAUCAGAAGUGCGAAUGCUGACAUAAGUAACGAUAAAGCGGGUGAAAAGCCCGCUCGCCGGAAGACCAAGGGUUCCUGUCCAACGUUAAUCGGGGCAGGGUGAGUCGACCCCUAAGGCGAGGCCGAAAGGCGUAGUCGAUGGGAAACGGGUUAAUAUUCCCGUACUUGGUGUUACUGCGAAGGGGGGACGGAGAAGGCUAUGUUGGCCGGGCGACGGUUGUCCCGGUUUAAGCGUGUAGGUGUGUGUUCCAGGUAAAUCCGGUUCACUUUAACACUGAGGCGUGACGACGAGGCACUACGGUGCUGAAGCAACAAAUGCCCUGCUUCCAGGAAAAGCCUCUAAGCAUCAGGUAACAUCAAAUCGUACCCCAAACCGACACAGGUGGUCAGGUAGAGAAUACCAAGGCGCUUGAGAGAACUCGGGUGAAGGAACUAGGCAAAAUGGUGCCGUAACUUCGGGAGAAGGCACGCUGACACGUAGGUGAAGUGAUUUACUCACGGAGCUGAAGUCAGUCGAAGAUACCAGCUGGCUGCAACUGUUUAUUAAAAACACAGCACUGUGCAAACACGAAAGUGGACGUAUACGGUGUGACGCCUGCCCGGUGCCGGAAGGUUAAUUGAUGGGGUCAGCGCAAGCGAAGCUCCUGAUCGAAGCCCCGGUAAACGGCGGCCGUAACUAUAACGGUCCUAAGGUAGCGAAAUUCCUUGUCGGGUAAGUUCCGACCUGCACGAAUGGCGUAAUGAUGGCCAGGCUGUCUCCACCCGAGACUCAGUGAAAUUGAACUCGCUGUGAAGAUGCAGUGUACCCGCGGCAAGACGGAAAGACCCCGUGAACCUUUACUAUAGCUUGACACUGAACAUUGAGCCUUGAUGUGUAGGAUAGGUGGGAGGCUUUGAAGCGUGGACGCCAGUCUGCGUGGAGCCGACCUUGAAAUACCACCCUUUAAUGUUUGAUGUUCUAACGUGGACCCGUAAUCCGGGUUGCGGACAGUGUCUGGUGGGUAGUUUGACUGGGGCGGUCUCCUCCUAAAGAGUAACGGAGGAGCACGAAGGUUGGCUAAUCCUGGUCGGACAUCAGGAGGUUAGUGCAAUGGCAUAAGCCAGCUUGACUGCGAGCGUGACGGCGCGAGCAGGUGCGAAAGCAGGUCAUAGUGAUCCGGUGGUUCUGAAUGGAAGGGCCAUCGCUCAACGGAUAAAAGGUACUCCGGGGAUAACAGGCUGAUACCGCCCAAGAGUUCAUAUCGACGGCGGUGUUUGGCACCUCGAUGUCGGCUCAUCACAUCCUGGGGCUGAAGUAGGUCCCAAGGGUAUGGCUGUUCGCCAUUUAAAGUGGUACGCGAGCUGGGUUUAGAACGUCGUGAGACAGUUCGGUCCCUAUCUGCCGUGGGCGCUGGAGAACUGAGGGGGGCUGCUCCUAGUACGAGAGGACCGGAGUGGACGCAUCACUGGUGUUCGGGUUGUCAUGCCAAUGGCACUGCCCGGUAGCUAAAUGCGGAAGAGAUAAGUGCUGAAAGCAUCUAAGCACGAAACUUGCCCCGAGAUGAGUUCUCCCUGAGACUUUAGGUCUCCUGAAGGAACGUUGAAGACGACGACGUUGAUAGGCCGGGUGUGUAAGCGCAGCGAUGCGUUGAGCUAACCGGUACUAAUGAACCGUGAGGCUUAACCUU